UAAGCUUAGCAGGAUUUGAACCUACAACUGCUCCGUUAUGAGCAGAGUGUUCUACCAAUUGAACUAUAAGCUU
rnacentral:tRNA from 1 species